rnacentral:rRNA from 1 species
GGUACACCCUGCCCAGUGUUAUUAUCAACGGCCGCGGUACCCUGACCGUGCAAAGGUAGCAUAAUAAUUUGCCUUUUAAUUAAAGGCUAGCAUGAAAGGGCAAACGAGAAUAAAGCUGUCUCACCUAUACGCCUAAAAAUUUAUCCUCAGGUGAAGAAGCCUGAAUAUAUAUAAAAGACAAGAAGACCCCGUCGAGCUUUAGUUUAAUGUGCUGACUCCAAACACUGCCACUACUACAAUUCACUCAUAAACUUUUGUUGGGGCGACAACGGAACACAAUAAACUUCCGACCUACCAAAGACCAUACGUCACUCAAAUGAUCCUUAAAUGACCACAAGAACCAGCUACCGCAGGGAUAACAGACUAAUCUUCCUCCGGAGCCCAAAUCUACAGGAAGGCUUGGCACCUCGAUGUUGGCUUAGGAAUAUCCCCUAGAUGAAGCAGUCUAGGAAGUGGGUU